UCCGAUAUGGUGUAGGCGGUUAGCAUAUGAGCCUCUCACGCUCGAGACUCGGGUUCGAGUCCCGGUAUCGGAA
rfam:Aureococcus anophagefferens unplaced genomic scaffold ATRANscaffold_1, whole genome shotgun sequence.